rnacentral:rRNA from 1 species
UAGGGGGCAAGCGUUGUCCGGAAUUACUGGGUGUAAAGGGUGCGCAGGCGGGACUGCAAGUUGGAUGUGAAAUACCGGGGCUUACCCCCGGGGCUGCAUCCAAAACUGUGGUUCUUGAGUGGAGUAGAGGUAAGCGGAAUUCCGAGUGUAGCGGUGAAAUGCGUAGAUAUUCGGAGGAACACCAGUGGCGAAGGCGGCUUACUGGGCUCUAACUGACGCUGAGGCACGAAAGCAUGGGUAGCAAA